CCUGUAUAAAGCCCAUCAGCUGAGAGCAGAAAGUGGUUGCAGUGAGGAAAAACAGCAAGAGAAGAUAAGAUGUGAGGAGGGGAUGUUCUGAUCAGGAUUAUGGUGGAGCUUUACACUGAAAAUAUUUUGUGCUAGCACUUCAAUGAAAGUUUACAACAACAUGGAACUGAAUCCUACAUUGUCAACAGUAAAGGUAUAAGAGGGGAAGGGCAGACUACAGCUGCUGGAAAUAUUUCAGUCAUUAGAAGAAAAGCAGAAACUGACACUAAUCUGGAGAAAAAGCAACCAAUGAUAUUCAGAUCAAUGAUGAAAAUAUUGAAUGGCAGCUGGCCUCCUUUGGAAAUCCUGAGAGCUGGAGGCCCUCCUCAUAACUACCGCUGUAGAAAUUGAAUGAGUGGCAAUAUCAGUAGCAUCAAGGGAGGCCUGGAAAGAUAUUCUGGUGAGCAGCUGGCCUUCUACAAAAAUUGCCUGGAAUUGCUGUCUAUGUUCUGCUUAUAGAUGCUCAAUAAAUAAGUUCAGCUUGGUA